AAUCCUAACCUGUGCCAGCUUUGCAUCUCUGCCAUAUCCAGGAACCUCUGGCUAUUCCAGCCUUGGACCCUGUGAUGUCCUAGAAGCCCUAACUGUGCCAUCCUCCAGUUCCUACAAUGUCUAGCUCUUUGCAGGAACUGCUGUCCAAUAAGACUCUUGUUUAAAACAUCUGUUUUGGAGAUAGACAUAACAAUACAUACCUUUCAUCUGAGCACUCUGGAGGCAGGAGUUGAAGUUGACCAUUAAGGGAAGUCAAGGUAAAAAUUCAAGUCAAGAAGCUAGAAGGAGGAACUGAAGCAGUGACCACAGAGGAGCAAUACAUACUGGUUUGCAGAGCUAGCUUUCUUAUAUACCUCAAGCCUACCUGCCCAAGGAGAGCACCAGCCACAGUGGAUUGGGACUUUCUUCAUCAAUUAACAGUCAAUAAAAUGUCCACAGACCAA